rnacentral:rRNA from 1 species
CCUACGGGGGGCAGCAGUGGGGAAUAUUGGACAAUGGGGGGAACCCUGAUCCAGCCAUGCCGCGUGUGUGAAGAAGGCCCUCGGGUUGUAAAGCACUUUCAGUGAGGAAGAACGCCUGGUGGUUAAUACCCAUCAGGAAAGACAUCACUCACAUAAGAAGCACCGGCUAACUCCGUGCCAGCAGCCGCGGUAAUACGGAGGGUGCGAGCGUUAAUCGGAAUUACUGGGCGUAAAGCGCGCGUAGGUGGCUUGAUAAGCCGGUUGUGAAAGCCCCGGGCUCAACCUGGGAACGGCAUCCGGAACUGUCAAGCUAGAGUGCAGGAGAGGAAGGUAGAAUUCCCGGUGUAGCGGUGAAAUGCGUAGAGAUCGGGAGGAAUACCAGUGGCGAAGGUGGCCUUCUGGACUGACACUGACACUGAGGUGCGAAAGCGUGGGUAGCAAACAGGAUUAGAUACCCUAGUAGUC